UACGAAGGGGGCUAGCGUUGCUCGGAAUCACUGGGCGUAAAGGGUGCGUAGGCGGGUCUUUAAGUCAGGGGUGAAAUCCUGGAGCUCAACUCCAGAACUGCCUUUGAUACUGGGGAUCUCGAGUCCGGAAGAGGUGAGUGGAACUCCGAGUGUAGAGGUGAAAUUCGUAGAUAUUCGGAAGAACACCAGUGGCGAAGGCGGCUCACUGGUCCGGUACUGACGCUGAUGCGCGAAAGCCAGGGGAGCGAACGGG
rnacentral:rRNA from 1 species